rnacentral:rRNA from 1 species
UACGGAAGGCAGCAGUGGGGAAUAUUGCACAAUGGGCGCAAGCCUGAUGCAGCCAUGCCGCGUGUAUGAAAAAGGCCUUCGGGUUGUAAAGUACUUUCAGUCGUGAGGAAGGUGUUAAGGUUAAUAACCUUAGCAAUUGACGUUAGCGACAGAAGAAGCACCGGCUAACUCCGUGCCAGCAGCCGCGGUAAUACGGAGGGUGCGAGCGUUAAUCGGAAUUACUGGGCGUAAAGGGCACGCAGGCGGUUAAUUAAGUUGGAUGUGAAAUCCCCGGGCUUAACCUGGGAAUGGCAUUCAAGACUGGUUAGCUAGAGUCUUGUAGAGGGGGUAGAAUUCCAUGUGUAGCGGUGAAAUGCGUAGAGAUGUGGAGGAUACCGGUGGCGAAGGCGGCCCCUGGACAAAGACUGACGCUCAUGUGCGAAAGCGUGGGGAGCAAACAGGGAUUAGAUACC